AUUGAACGCUGGCGGCAUGCCUUACACAUGCAAGUCGAACGGCAGCACGGGUGCUUGCACCUGGUGGCGAGUGGCGAACGGGUGAGUAAUACAUCGGAACAUGUCCUGUAGUGGGGGAUAGCCCGGCGAAAGCCGGAUUAAUACCGCAUACGAUCUACGGAUGAAAGCGGGGGACCUUCGGGCCUCGCGCUAUAGGGUUGGCCGAUGGCUGAUUAGCUAGUUGGUGGGGUAAAGGCCUACCAAGGCGACGAUCAGUAGCUGGUCUGAGAGGACGACCAGCCACACUGGGACUGAGACACGGCCCAGACUCCUACGGGAGGCAGCAGUGGGGAAUUUUGGACAAUGGGCGAAAGCCUGAUCCAGCAAUGCCGCGUGUGUGAAGAAGGCCUUCGGGUUGUAAAGCACUUUUGUCCGGAAAGAAAUCCUUGGCUCUAAUACAGUCGGGGGAUGACGGUACCGGAAGAAUAAGCACCGGCUAACUACGUGCCAGCCGCCGCCGUAA
rnacentral:rRNA from 1 species